UAAGCAUAUCAAUAAGCGGAGGAAAAGAAACUAACAAGGAUUCCCCUAGUAACUGCGAGUGAAGCGGGAAAAGCUCAAAUUUGAAAUCUGGCGGUUUUUAACUGUCCGAGUUGUAAUCUAGAGAAGUGUUACCUGUGCUGGACCGUGUAAAAGUUUCCUGGAAUGGAGCAUCAUAGAGGGUGAGAAUCCCGUCUUUGACACGGACUACCUGUACAUUAUGGUGUGCUCUCAAAGAGUCGAGUUGUUUGGGAAUGCAGCUCAAAAUGGGUGGUAAAUGCCAUCUAAAGCUAAAUAUUGGCGAGAGACCGAUAGCGAACAAGUACCGUGAGGGAAAGAUGAAAAGAACUUUGGAAAGAGAGUUAAACAGUACGUGAAAUUGCUGAAAGGGAAACGCUUGAAGUCAGUCACGUUGGCUAGAAAUCAGCCUUGCUUUUGCUUGGUGUACUUUCUGGUUUGACGGGUCAGCAUCAAUUUUGACCACUGGAUAAAGUCUCUGGGAAUGUAGCAUCUUUGGAUGUGUUAUAGCCCAGGGUUGCAUACGGUGAUUGGGAUUGAGGAAUUCAGCACGCCACAAGGCCGGGUUUCGACCACGAUCGUGCUUAGGAUGCUGGCAUAAUGGCUUUAAUCGACCCGUCUUGAAACACGGACCAAGGAGUCUAACAUGCCUGCGAGUGUUUGGGUGGAAAACCCAUGCGCGCAAUGAAAGUGAAAGUUGAGAUCCCUGAAAGGGGAGCAUUGACGCCCGGACCAGACCUUUUGUGACGGAUCCGCGGUAGAGCAUGUAUGUUGGGACCCGAAAGAUGGUGAACUAUGCCUGAAUAGGGUGAAGCCAGAGGAAACUCUGGUGGAGGCUCGUAGCGAUUCUGACGUGCAAAUCGAUCGUCAAAUUUGGGUAUAGGGGCGAAAGACUAAUCGAACC
rnacentral:rRNA from 1 species